AAACAAAGAAAUGGCUGUUCUAAAUUGCUACUACCUCUCAGUGACUUCUACAGCCACACCAAAAUCUCAAGAAUCUGCAAGCAAUUCAUCCCCAACACAGAAACUACCAACCAAAGUGAUUCUUCCCAAAAAAAAGCCUAUGAAAUGGUCUACUGGAGAUGCACCAGGUGAAUAUGGAGGACCACCAACUACAACUAAGCUAAGGAAGUAUUGGGGUGAGGAUAAAGAUCCUCUUACCUCUGAUGAUUUUAUUUGGAAUAAAG
rnacentral:misc_RNA from 1 species